rnacentral:misc_RNA from 1 species
AAAAAAAAAGAAAAAAGAAAAAAGCAGAGUUCAUUAGAAAUAGAAAUGCACCUAGACCUAAGAGCCCUUCUAAAUUUUUGGCAUCCAAAGCUGGCUAUUUGAUGCAAAAUUCUUAAUUAUAGACCUUUACAGUGUCUAAAUCCUAUCAAGCAACCCACUCAAAAGAUAUAUUUCCAAAAGCAUUAAUUACAAUUGGACAGUUGCACAAAAUAUACGGACAAGAUGAGCAGCAAAUUAAUCAUCUUGGCCAAGAUGAGGAAGACUUACUCAUAAAACCAUCUAUAUUGCGUUGGAUUCAUCUCAUAGAGCUGGUUAAGAACAGUUCUUGUUGCCUUGUAUGUGAAAUAGUUGAGUAUUUGCUGCAGGCAGGAACAAUUAUAGCAACAUAAAAAAAUUACAAUCUUUGAACAGAGAUAGAUAUGAAUUCACAAGUUAUCCCCAUAACAAUAUUUAUCAGCAUCUUCAUCAAAAUAUAGAGCUUGGACUGCCAUAGUCCUUUAUCAAAUUUGUAAUAACACCCUGAGACAUUUGACAAGCAAAUUGAAAUAGAUUGAAUUUGAUGUAUUGUUGUAAAUACUUUAGUUGCAUCUAUCUGUUGGAAAACCUGAGAUAUAUGAAACUAAUUAAUUUUAGGAAAAAGUAAAAAUACUAGCAGCUCAUCUUUACCGUUUUCACAUCCUCAAAACUAUCUUCAUAUUGCCCUCCCAAUUCGUAGACAACCACAAGUCUCCGAUCCUUUCUCUGCUUCCUUGAACUCUUAUCACUAACAAUACCUGAAAUCGCUUUCGAUGAGAGCCUCCAAUCAUGCCAUGAUUCCACAAAAGAACUCCCCAGCUCCAAUGACCCUGGCCUCCACAGUUUCUUUCUCUUCACUGAAUUCCUUUGCCAAACCAACUCUCCACUAUUUUUGAGAUUCAUAUUACUCAUAGGCAGUGCAUCCAAACACAAACAAGGACUAGUGUGUGAGUCCACCAUAGAUGAGCCUACCAUGGAUAAAGCUCCCACCAUUUUCUUUCCAAGCUUAAAAGAGCCCCACAAAACAACCUAUACCCGGAUCAGGAUUAUGUCUAUGUCUGGCGCAGGGUGCAAUUCAAGAAACUGAAAGAUACCCAACAAAGAAUAUCGAAAAAGUUCAAAUAGGUGUCCAAGAAAAUGGAAGUUGUGCUACAGCACAUGAACAGAGAAUUGGGAGCUCAAUAGCUGGAGGCGUUUUAGAACAAAGGGUUUUUUAUGGUGUGACGACUCUUAACCAGACAAAUAUAUGAGGUUGAAAUUUCUCCAAGCGAAAAGGGUGACUCAAAAUCAAAAUUUUUAUAGCGUCAGCUUGCCGUUUUAUUGAUUUCUGGUGUGUGUGUGUGUGUGUAACCAAAAAGUUUAUUUAUGAACAGAUGUUUGGCCUAUUUUUUAUUUUAUAUUGUAUUCUUUUAAAUUUUCCUGUUAAAUCCUCCAAAAUAUUUCAUGGGUAAUCAGUUGUGCUAUUUGGGUGAUGUCAUUAUUUUCUUGCAUAUUUAAAUUUAAUUUCAUUUUGCUUUAGGCUGUAUCUAUUGUUGCCAGUGAUUCUGUUUCUUCCCUGCUUUUUGGCCUGGAAUUCCUUAGAAUUCAUUGC